CCAACAUGGCCGGGCAGGAAGAGCAGGGUCCCGCCUUCAGGUGUUUGGGACUCAGCUGAGGGUGUGGGUGCCCCGCGGUGGGGGCUGAACCUUCCUGGGGUGUGGAGAGACGAAAGGAGCCCAGAUCCAAGUUCCCUCGUUCCUGCUUUGGCACAAGUUGCCCUGGCGGUCUCAUGAGAGAGAGAGAGAGCUGGGACCCUCCUCGCCCCAGUGAGUGUGAUGUCUUGCUCCGGGUGUCCUGGGGCAACUUUCUAUAAAGGCGGGACGUGGGAGGAUCAGACAGUGUAACAUCAGACAAGGGUGUUGACUCUGCAGCACAGAACCAGUAGUUUGUGGAGAAGAAUGAGGUGUGGUGUUGAAUCUGCUAGACAGGCUACUGAAGCAAAAGUCAAGAGAUCCAGAUCCCAUCAUGGGGACACUUUAGUUACACAGGUUAAAGAAUUGAGAGGCUGCUGCUACGAAUGUCUCCAUGAGUCACAUGAAAAACCAUAUUCUUACAAGGUUGCUAGGGAUAGCCUUGCAAGGAAGCUACUUUCCUUCAGCACACAUAGACAGGACUCUACCAGAUAGCAAUGUACACUGCAGUGUUUGACUUUCGUGACUGUACCCACACAGCACCACUUAGUGGAUAAGUCUGUCCAACUCUGGGGUUCAUUAAGAAGAAAUGUCUUCUCAGCAGAUCUAAGGUUAUUCAGUCACAUGAUUAUGGACAGUCUCUUAGUUUUCUGCCAUGGAUAGCUAAUUGCUUCAUGUUCUUCAUCGGGUAAUUGAGCUGAUAUCAGGUGUCUGAAGGAGGCAAGUUUUGAAGAUAUGAGUCAUGAUGGCUGCUGAAGCUUCCACUCCAUAUUUGAAGGUCAGCAGUUCUCAGGAAACCUCUAGCACUUCCAUCCCUGGUGGGAUAUGAUGCCUGUCUCAGGGUGAAUACUAGGAGUCCAAUGGCUGGAUCAUAUGACAGAUGUGAGAUUAACAAUUGUAACAUCAGAGAAGGGGUGUACUCUGUGCCCUAGAACUAGGAGCUAGCAGAGAAAAACCAAAUGUGAUGUGGAGUCUGCUAGACAGGCUACUGGAGCAAGAGUGAAGCAAUGAAAGUCUCAUCAUUGGGACAUAUUAGAAAAAAUGAUGGAUACAGAAGGAUAGCUGGAUGUAAGUGAAAAGUUCCAGAAAUCCAUGUCUGAUCCCAUUAAUCAAGCUCCCAACUUUCAUCCCUCCCUGCCUGCUGCUGAGUCCCCUGGUCUACACUCAGAGUUGCCAUCCUGACUCUGGCCACCAAGAGGCAUUACAGCUAUCUCUACGUUCCUUGCUCUUUCUUAAUGAAAAGGGGUAAAUUUCGCAGAAAUUCCAUCCUAUGGAUAUGACAUCAGUUUUCUCAAACCUGUGUUAUUCAGAGUGUUCUGAUAUUCCCUGUUAUCUACACUGUGUGGAAGACAUCUUUUCAGAGUCUGUGCAUGGCUGAAGGGCACAGUUCCUGUAGCUGUUUACACUGCGCAGAGCUUUUAUGCAGAUGACUGAACCCGUGGAGUUAGGUGGCUGAGAGGAUGCAGCUUCCCAGGUCUCUACAAUUGAUGGCAGCAAGAUGGGAGCACCCAGCUACAGUAUUCAGAAGUAGAUUUAGGCAGACUACCGCACCUUACAUGCUAGAGGGAUCCACACUGACCUGAGUAGGUGAGGUCUCAGACAGGCUUGUUUUCCAUCAUGGCGACAGGAUUACAGCCUACUCAGAAAGCAGGAUAUUGAUGUACAACAAGAUUCGCUGAUCAGAAAGAGAGGCAGAACUAGCAGCCUGGCUUCAGAGGUGAAGAUACAGAUGUCAGUAGUGACCCAGUGUGACAUGCAUAAAGGAAUUUCUUAUUGAGCCCCAGGAAGAAGAAACACUACAUAAGAGCAAAUAAUAAAAUCGGUCAGAUAGACAGAAGAUGGGAGUCAUCAAACCUGUAUCCCUCUUGCCAGACCUAUCAACUGACCAUAGGACAUUCAGGAGGCAGCAGGUGGCUGAAAUCCUGGUGUGAUGUGGCUGGAUCAUGCAUGAUCUGAGGACUCCUGCACAGGUGACUGCAGGAUGAGUACAGAAUUUUUCUAUAAAUAUACUAAAAUACCAAGUAAGCCAGGAGCAGCCACUAGGCAAACACCAAACCUUGCAUUCCUCGCCAGACCUAUCACAGAGCUCAUCAGCACCGAGCUCCUCACACAGGCGACUGAACCCGUGGUUUUGAUGUCUGAGAAGAUGCAGCUUCUCCAGUCUCUGCAACUGAUGGCAGGAAGAUGGGAGCACUCAGCUUCAGUGUUCAGAAGCAGAUUUAGGCCAACUGCCAUACCUUACGUUCUAGAGGGAUCCACCCUGACCUGAGCAGGUGAGGUCGCAGAAAGGCUUGCUUUCCAUCACAGGGACAGGAUUACAGCCUGCUCAGAAGCAUGUUGUGGUCCAGCUCUUGCAUCAUUUAAAAAGACUUCAGCUCUUCUCUAAUAUUGAAUUCUACUAAUAUCACAGAGAGAUGUUCUUAAUCUUCUAGACAAACACACUGCCAUCAGUAUUCCCCAGAGGCCACAAACACACCCUGGAACCAUAAUGCCACCAGUAGCUCUAGGAGAACUUGCAGGCUAAUGUGCCUGUUGCUCAUUGUUUUUAGGCUACAUAUGAAAAUGGACCAGUUUGCAAUAAAAAUAUAAUGCAAUGAUGAUUAUCAGAGCAUUUUGUAUACUAGGGAAUUUUUUAAGUUAUCUGAACAUCGAAUUAAAUAUAAUGACAAUGAAAGAAUUUCCACCUGUCAUAUCAUCAAAGUAUAAAAAGAAACCAUUCAGGAUUCCAGUAAGGUGGGCAUGCGGGGAAGUCUACCCUGUUUCAUAUUGGUGGUGGGGAUGUCAUUUAGUACAACCUCUUUCCAGGUCGAUUUGGUAAUUUCUAUUAAAGACUCUAUGCAUCCCCGAUCUGCAUGUGUUUGGGGCCUGCUCCUUCAAGUAUUCACCCUCAGCAUGGCCCCUGUCCCUCUAAGAGUGUAUAUUCUUGUUGACAUAGGAACUGUCUGGAGACUCCAGUUUCUAAAGCACUGGCCCAGACACACUCCCUUGUCUACAGAGUAGGAAAUUUAGGUCUGACAAGGUUCUCUGUCUUUCAUAAGAGAGACAGAACUGGCAGCCUGGCUUCAGAGCUGAAGAUACAGAUUUCAGUAGUGACCCGGGUCAGCAGGAAAGCGAGAUUUGCUUGGUUAUGGUGUGAUGUGCAGCUCAGCAUCACGGUCUGCCUGGGGGCAUACAGGAUGCUCAGCAUCACGGUCUGCCUGGGGGCAUAUAGGGUGCUACUCUCUGCUUUUCCACUUAGUGGCAGGAUGCUCCCCAGCCAGGUUGCUUAACCUGCAAACAUCACUGUUUCUUAAGCUACAGGAUGGUGUAAGAUUAUAUCCUCUACUUCCCAGGAAUGUUGUGGGAAAUUCAUGAGAUAGAAAAGUACCAGAGUUCCGGAAGGGUGAGUCCCCACAGCUCCCUGAGGCCAGAGAUACUGCCCUUCUGCAGGACUUUAUGUUACAAUCACCCUAUGACAAUGCACAAAUAAAUGGUCAUUCAAUUACAAAGGAAUACAAGGACUUAUAUUUACUCAGUUCAUCCAAUAUCAAUUAUUAUAAUAAUCAACAGUGUAAAUUGGAAAGUAACUAUGUGGAAACCACUUCUCCUUCCUUCCCAUCUAAGGUCUCAGAAGUGCUUUCCCAGAUGUGAUCUCAUUAACCUCUAUAUUGAUCUGAGAGGUGUUAACCAAAACUGGCCAGCACAGGGGAAAUGACUCACCUAAGGCCUUAUAAUGGGCCUGCCCCACCAUGUUCUAUUGCAUUGUUUUUCUGCAAAGCCUCAUCUUGCGGGGUUACACUAUACAUAUUUUUCUUCUCUUUUCAUUUUACCAAAGAGAAAAAUAUAUACUUUUUUAUUGUUAAGAAACAUUUUCUCAAAUAAGUACUUAUUUCAUUCCUUACUGAAAUGGUUUUUUCUUACUGAUCCAUUGAAACCAUGUUGGCUAUGUUCAACAUAACUAGAGAUAUCUUUGGCGUUUUCCUCCCUUAGCUUCAUAUCUUGUAGAACAUCUUGUACAAAAAAAGUAGAUUUACAGAAAAACAUACAUAUAAAUCAUGUAUUAAUCCCCAAAUGUAGUAAAAUAACAUAGCAAAAACUUUAUCAAAUCCAUUUCGUGCACAAACUGGACAGAUCUGUUAUAUACAAUCUCUAUAUGCAUCUGCAGUGUUUUAUAAAUUGGUGCUUUGACAUUAAAAAGGAGGUUUACAAAAAGGCCCCUCUUGUAAUAUCGAUGACUGAAUUAUCUCACUAUCAUUGCUUCUCCAAUUUCCUUGAAUUUAUACUCAUCAUUGCCAUAUCACCAUUCUUACAAAGGCGGUUAUUUUAAGGAAAAAGUUGCAGCGUGAUUAUGAUAUAAGUAACAUUCAAAAUUUCAUGUUAUCAAGAGUUGAGCAAAGUACUAAUUUCCCCUUUAUAAACACACGUUUAAAACAAGAGCUUCAUGCACAUCCAAAUAGAAAUUCAAAGUCAAACUGUGUAAUGUGUUUUUAUUGACAGAAGGCAUCACACACAUUCCCAAGCAGCAUGGUUCCUGUGAGAAACUGAAAACUAAUUUCUUGAAUCUACAAUGCGACUUCCAUCUUCCAGGUGUAACCAGAGUUUUUCCUGGAGCGAUUCCAGCUUGUUUCCUUUUGGUGCCUUCCUUAAGAAAUUUUGCAGCUGUUUCUGGUGCAGUUUUUGGGUGGGCUCUGGGGUGGGCAGACGAUCUCCACUUUGCAGAGGCUGCUCUUGUGGGUGGAGCUGGUGGUGAGGGAGUAGGAGAGGCCUUGCAUCAUCCUGGCAUUCAGGCCCUUAGCCAUGGAGAAGGACUUGAGGUGGCUUCUUAAGGUAAUGGGGAGUGGGAGCUUGUCGACCAGGUGUACGGGCGUGCAGGACACGAUGGCGCGGCAGCAGAGGUCUUGCAAACUCAUUACCUUGCUGGGUCUCCCGAGCCAAUUCAUCCUGUGCCGCAGCAGCACGAUCCUGGCCAGCUCCGUGAAAGACUCUAUGAUGUUGAAAUUGCACAGAGGGCUGACCUCAAAGAAGGUCACACCCAGGCGCUCAGCGUAGGCCUGGGCCUGCUCCCUGGGCACCUGCCUCUUGAAUGCCAGAUGUAGGCGAUUCCCCACCAGGAUUUUAGGGACACCAGGGGCAUGCUCAUCGAUCUUCUUAAUCCAUCGAUCCAUACCCUCGAAAGACCAGCGGUUUGCAAUGUCGUAGACCAGGAUCACUCCUUGUGCACCACGAGAGUAGGAGCGGAAUAUGGUACAAAAUCUUCCCUGCCCCGACGUAUCCCAGAGCUUCAGCUUCACCCGCUGGCCGUCCAGCAGGAUGGUGGUCGUCUUGUAGUCGAUCCCCCCCAGGUGGCUGUAUGGGGACUCAGCUGCGCCAUCCUGCAGGCUCUCCAGGAUCUCACUCUUGCCUACGUCGCUGUCGCCCACCAGCAGGAACUUGAGCAGGAAGUCAUAGGCCUGGUCGGGGCUGCCCGGGGUGCUCAUGGUGCUAGCCCCGCGUUCCCACCUGAGCCAGGCGCGCGGGGUUGUGCGCAGAGGUGGUGCCGGGUCUGUUUUUCUUGAGAAGUUAGCAUAGAACAUAAAAAAUGAGAUGGGGAAGUCUGUGAAAUAAAGCGAAAUGAGGUGGUGGCUUUGAUGGAUUUCUUUUACAAACUCUAGGAAACUGGUUCAGCGAUUGUUUUCCUUUCUCUUACUCAGCACAGAGUAGUGACACAGCAGUUAAUUAAUCAUGGAAACCUAUACAUUUCCCUUAAAAUUUUCAUGUGAUCGUUAUGGAACCAUGCCUUUUGGAUUAUGUCAAAGGAAUCUCCUUUAAAGGAAGGACGGGUAUGGGAUAGGAAAGGGACUAAGAUGUGUUGAGUACUGUAUGUACCCUACGCUGUGUAUGAUGCUUAAAAUAUUUUGUUCUUUUGCUUUCAGAACAGUUGUCUUUGGUAGCUAUAAUUGUUUCCAUUUUACAGAUGAGAAAAGGCAAACUCAGAAAUGUUAUGUAAUUUUUAAAAAUAUUGCCAUUAAUAUAGAGAUCACAGAAAUCAGAAUCCAGAGCCAGUGCUCUCUUCAUAUAACGCACCACACUUCCUUUCUACUCUGUGGCCAUGCCGGGUUUAGGAGUAAGUGUGAACUGUCUGUGCAUGUGAUCCUUGACAAGCCACGCAUGUUUGCAUGGGCACUAAUACUUUCCUUGCUGCGGGGGACAUCUCCCAUAAAUAUAAGAGCCAAGAUCUCAGAAGAGACAUCUAGGACAUGGAUUUUGCUAGAGUGUCUCAUAAAUAAUAUUCACCCAACAAAGAUGUGUUGAAAUAACGCAUGCAUCCAUCAGUGAAGGUUUUUCGGUUUAACACAUGUACAGCUCCUAUAACAAAAUAACAAAACUGAAAAAAUAUGUAUAUGGUUCACAGGUGAAGAAAUGCAAAUGGCCAGUAAUCACAAGAAAAUGCAUUCUAGCUCACUAAUACAUUAAGGAAUGCAAAUGAAACCAUCUAAAUAUCCGUUUAUCACCUAUCAUCUGACAAAA